rnacentral:rRNA from 1 species
CCUACGGGAGGCAGCAGUGAGGAAUAUUGGUCAAUGGGAGAGAUCCUGAACCAGCCAAGCCGCGUGAGGGAAGACGGCCCUAUGGGUUGUAAACCUCUUUUGUCGGAGAACAAAACCCGGGACGUGUCCCGGACUGCGUGUAUCCGAAGAAAAAGCAUCGGCUAACUCCGUGCCAGCCGCCGCGGUAAUACGGAGGAUGCGAGCGUUAUCCGGAUUUAUUGGGUUUAAAGGGUGCGUAGGCGGUCCGUUAAGUCAGCGGUAAAAUUGCGGGGCUCAACCCCGUCGAGCCGUUGAAACUGGCAGACUUGAGUUGGCGAGAGGGACGCGGAAUGCGAGGUGUAGCGGUGAAAUGCAUAGAGAUCGCGCAGAACUCCGAUUGCGAAGGCAGCGUACCGGCGCUCAACUGACGCUCAUGCACGAAAGUGUGGGUAUCGAACAGGAUUAGAUACCCGUGUAGUC